UACGUAGGCAGCGAGCGUUGUUCGGAGUUACUGGGCGUAAAGGGUGUGUAGGCGGUUGUUUAAGUUUGGUGUGAAAUCUCCCGGCUCAACUGGGAGGGGGCGGUGGAGACUGCCGGACUAGAGGACUCAGAGGCCGGUGGAAUUCCCGGUGUAGUGGUGAAAUGCGUAGAGAUCGGGAGGAACACCAGUGGCGAAGGCGGCCGGCUGGGGGUGCCCUGACGCUGAGGCGCGAAAGCGUGGGGGAGCGAACCGG
rnacentral:rRNA from 1 species